rnacentral:rRNA from 1 species
CCUACGGGAGGCAGCGGUGGGGAAUUUUGGACAAUGGGCGCAAGCCUGAUCCAGCCAUGCCGCGUGCAGGAUGAAGGCCUUCGGGUUGUAAACUGCUUUUGUACGGAACGAAAAGACUCUGGUUAAUACCUGGGGUCCAUGACGGUACCGUAAGAAUAAGCACCGGCUAACUACGUGCCAGCAGCCGCGGUAAUACGUAGGGUGCGAGCGUUAAUCGGAAUUACUGGGCGUAAAGCGUGCGCAGGCGGUUAUAUAAGACAGAUGUGAAAUCCCCGGGCUCAACCUGGGAACUGCAUUUGUGACUGUAUAGCUAGAGUACGGCAGAGGGGGAUGGAAUUCCGCGUGUAGCAGUGAAAUGCGUAGAUAUGCGGAGGAACACCGAUGGCGAAGGCAAUCCCCUGGGCCUGUACUGACGCUCAUGCACGAAAGCGUGGGGAGCAAACAGGAUUAGAUACCCUGGUAGUCCACGCCCUAAACGAUGUCAACUGGUUGUUGGGUCCUCACUGACUCAGUAACGAAGCUAACGCGUGAAGUUGACCGCCUGGGGAGUACGGCCGCAAGGUUGAAACUCAAAGGAUUGACGG